GAUGAACGCUGGCUACAGGCCUAACACAUGCAAGUCGAGGGGCAGCAUGGACUUAGCUUGCUAAGUCUGAUGGCGACCGGCGCACGGGUGAGUAACGCGUAUCCAACCUGCCCAUAUCCCGGGCAUAACCUUGCGAAAGGCGGAUUAAUACCGUAUGCUGUCAUCAAGAUGCAUAUAUUGAUGACGAAAGGACUGGCGGUAUGGGAUGGGGAUGCGUCUGAUUAGCUGGUUGGUGGGGCAACGGCCUACCAAGGCGACGAUCAGUAGCCGGUCUGAGAGGAUGAACGGCCACAUUGGAACUGAGACACGGUCCAGACUCCUACGGGAGGCAGCAGUGGGGAAUAUUGGACAAUGGGCGAAAGCCUGAUCCAGCAAUGCCGCGUGAGUGAUGAAGGCCUUAGGGUUGUAAAGCUCUUUUACCCGGGAAGAUAAUGACUGUACCGGGAGGAAUAAGCCCCGGCUAACUCCGUGCCAGCAGCCG
rnacentral:rRNA from 1 species